GGUGCGACCAGAGUGGUGUUGUCUUUAGGUCUUAGGGAGGAGACUGAUGAGGGCUGCUUGGGCAUGAAAAGUCUCCUAAAACUCUACAGCAGGAUCCUGAAGAACAGAUUCAACCAACAGAUGGAGGCACAGCACAUGGUAUGCAGCGUUUAUCAUGAGGAUGUGGUGACGAGUCGACCGACAGAAAGAGACAACACACUACCUCCUCAACCUGAGCCUUAUUUUUCUCAGAGUUUUCUCAUAUCAGUGCCUGACAAUGUCUUCAUCUAUGCAAACAUUUGGUUUUCUCUUCAUCUGUUUUUACAGUCAUGCGAGCGCUGUUACAUUUCAGCAAUCUCCUCUCCAGAUAGUGAAGGAGAACAGUGAAGUCCACAUUAACUGCACUCAUGAUGAUAGUACCCUUCUCUUAAUGCUCUGGUAUCAGCAAAGAGAGGACAGUCUGUCUAUGACCCUCAUUACAUAUGGAUAUGCAAAAACCAAUCCAAACUAUGAAGGUCAGUUUGAUAAACAAUUCAAACUGACAAGAGAAGACGCAACAUCAGGAACGCUUACUAUUCAAAGAGCCAACCUGUCACACUCAGCUGUGUAUUUCUGCGCUGCCAGUACACAGUGAUGUGGUUUAAUGCCACUCCCUCACUAAAAACCCUGAUCUUUUUCCUGUGUUUGCACAAGAAGGGGUGACUCUCUUUUUACACACUCUCACUGGAGGAAGCUGUGUUUCUCCUGCAGCAGCACAAACCUGGAGGAUGUCUCCAACUGUGAUUGGAUUUCUUCUCAUCUUGCUUCCAUAUCAAACAAAGAGUGUGAAUUUUCAGCCGUCUCAUCCGAGAAUAGUCAACAAAGCAGCCAGGGUGGAAAUUGAAUGCAGUCACGAUGACAGCAACCUUUAUGUAAUGCUCUGGUACCAGCAAGACAGAGGUCUGAUGAGCUUGAUUGGAUACAGCUAUCAUGGCAACGAACCCACAUAUGAGAAACAGUUCGAAAACCAGUUUGCGAUUACAAGAGAAAGCAUCCUGAAAGGAUCUCUGAUUAUUCACAAUGUGAAUGUAUUAGACUCAGCUGUGUAUUUCUGCGCUGCCAGUACACAGUGAUGUGGUUUAAUGUCACCCCAUCACUAAAAACCCUGCUCUCUUUUUUUCUGUUCAGGAAUCUCUGAGGCAAGCUGGUGGAGCAUCAAAAAUGUCACAGUCAUUCAUGAACAUAUGAAAGCACAUGACAUUUAUGGGGAGGAGUUUAAGGCUGCCAUUUACAGGCAAAAACUGUUUACAUCCUUAAUAUAAAUCAGACAGCACAAUUAGUUUGACUGCACUGCAUCCCAGGUGACUAAACGAUUCAACAUAUUUUUCGGUCUUGUUAUUUAAAGGAUAACUCUGGAAAUUCUCCAAAGAUUUUUGUGCUUAUCAAUCAGUUACACUCAGAAAAUAGAAAAAUUAAGCCAGGAUAACAUAAAUACAACAAAGCCAACACAUGACAUUAUGUUCGCACAAGAAGUAAAUGCUGAAUCUUGGUGAGGUGAAGCUGUAAGUCCUGGCGUCUCAGAGAGGAGCAAACUUUUUGAAAGAAACUCGAGAAGCCAAAACUCAGACGUGUGAGAGCGGUAGGCCCGAUUCCAAGGCCUAAUGUGUAUUACCUUAACCUGAAUUUAACCUGAGUUUAACUUAAUCCUAACCUUAACCAGUUAUCUGUGCGUACUUCCGGGCCGUGGAAUCUAAUGUUUACAGGUCAGGAUUCGAACAACCGUUAACGGAUGUGACUGAAAAUCGUUACUGUAACAAAAUGCAGCAGCAAAUUCUUACCUUGGUGAAGAAGAGAAGCUGUAAUUCCCUCCAGACAUUUCCGAGAAGCGUAAAUCUUUUCUGAAAGAGUCCCAAGCAAGGCAAUAAAGUCCAGUUCAAACUUGAAGCAAGCAUCCAAUCGACGAAUCAUCCAAUCGACGAAGAGUCCAAUCGUCAAUGCGACGACGAGCAACCGACUCCAUCCACAAGUGUGGGCACGGCGAAAACAUUUACUUCCCGCACCGGUCUAUAGCAACAUUUGUCUAUCAAACUGCUGGCAAUGAGCUCGCUUUUGAAGUGCAAGUUUUAAUACUAGUCAUCCUCAUUUUCUACAAACUAAAUUUGCUCAUUGUUUAGUUGUUUAUUCGGUCCACCAGGGCCGCAAAGUUUUGCGUGCGACAAGUACUAAAUGAACGGUUAAAAAGUGGGCGGGGUUUAGCCACUUUAAAAAGACUACCAAUCAGGCGGUGACCAAUCAUGUUCCACUGAGGCCCACCUGUAAGCAGGUUUUUAUCCAAUCACCUCAGCAGGUGAUUUAAAUGAAACAUUUUACAGCAGAAACACCGGAUCAUUCUCACGCUGUCAGCAAUAAUAAAAAUCUGCAGUAACUCAAAGGAAUCAUGGUAUUGGAGUAUUGGAGGCAGACUAAAACAAAAUCAAACAAAUAAGGCAGUAACCGGGACUAACACAUCCCAAAACCUUGUCUGGUUUUUGAGUUUAUUAUAUUUAACUGAGGAGAAAUACACUCUACACUCUAAAUACACUAACUUUAUUAACUAAAAGAGGUAAACUAUAGUACAGGGUUAGUGUUUCUUAAUUUAUUCACCUGAACAUGAUAUUAUUUGAUGAAAGUUUGUAUUCGUUAGUGAUUAGAAACAAAACUGCAGCAAAGAUACAUGCUGAUUUUUUUUAUGAGAUCAGCUGUGAGCAGAGGAAGAAGGUGGGGAAGAGGAGGUAUGAUGUAUGGAGAAGGUAGACACCUCUCAUUUGAUAUGUAAGACGGCUGUCAGACUAGAACGACACGCAAAACCUCUGCCACUGAUGCCGGGUUUCAGAUUUCAGUAUAUGCUGUGAUUGUAAAUUUGAUAUGGAAACAGUUGCAUUUUCAUUUGUCUUUACUGCAUAGAUCUUGAUUUAAGUUUAGUUUCCAGGAUGUCUCCAGCUUUAUACACGUUUGGAUUUUUACUGUUCAUGCUCACAGGAAAAGUGAAGAGUGUCACCUUUGAACAGUCCCCUUCUCAGAUUGUGAAGAAAGGGACUAAGGAGCUCAGGAUUAACUGCAGUCAUGAUGGCAGCAACCUGCAAACAAUGCUGUGGUACCAACACAAACCGAGCAGCCAGUCCAUGAGCCUCAUUGGGUACACAGUUCUCACGAGUGACCCAGUCUUCGAGGACCAGUUUAAAGACAGAUUCCAGCUGAAAAGAGAAGACAUACUGAGAGGAUCUCUGAUCAUUCUCACAGUGGAUUCAUCAGACUCAGCUGUGUAUUUCUGUGCUGCUAGCACACACUGAUGUGGUUUAAUACCACUGCUGCACUAAAAACCUCCUGUAGCAAACUAAUGACAGCUCCUGAAUGAUGAAUGAUAUUUUUUUUACAGUAUCAUGAAUGUAAUCAUAUACCAAAAUGUA